ensembl:processed_transcript Gas5 growth arrest specific 5
GAGGGCGUGUGAGGGGCGGGGUUUAAGUGGACGCAGCAAGCAGCUUUGCGUCUUGACGUCACGAAGACCUUAUAUACUCGACUCAGCCGCCAUCUCGGCCUUUCGGAGCUGUGCGGCACUCUGAGCAGGAAUGGCAGUGUGGACCUCUGUGAUGGGACAUCUUGUGGGAUCUCACAGCCAGUUCUGUGGCAAAGGAGGAUGAAGGCUUACGAGGACUCGUCAGGAAGCUGGAUAACAGAGCGAGCGCAAUGUGCUAGAAUAGAAGACCAGAAAAUGAAAUGGUGGAGUUUGAGGCUGGAUAGACAGUUUGAAAGGUACAAAUGAUGGUUUGAAUAAAGAAAGGUAUUACGCAUGGGUCACCUCAAGUGAAGGCACUGCAAACACAAUGAUUGGUCAUUCUGAAUUUCCGGUCCUUCAUUCUGAAUUUCAAAGGCUCCUGUGACAAGUGGACAUGCAGUGACUGUACCUUUGUUUCUGAGGUGCCUGGAUGGAGGCUCAAAUAGAAGAUGGUGUCAGAUAUAUUGUGUUAAAAUUUUACCAUUAAAGUGUAUUAUAACAUG